rnacentral:rRNA from 1 species
UGCAGUCGAGCGGGGGAGUUGCUUCGGUAACUGACCUAGCGGCGGACGGGUGAGUAAUGCUUAGGAAUCUGCCUAUUAGUGGGGGACAACAUCUCGAAAGGGAUGCUAAUACCGCAUACGUCCUACGGGAGAAAGCAGGGGAUCUUCGGACCUUGCGCUAAUAGAUGAGCCUAAGUCGGAUUAGCUAGUUGGUGGGGUAAAGGCCUACCAAGGCGACGAUCUGUAGCGGGUCUGAGAGGAUGAUCCGCCACACUGGGACUGAGACACGGCCCAGACUCCUACGGGAGGCAGCAGUGGGGAAUAUUGGACAAUGGGGGGAACCCUGAUCCAGCCAUGCCGCGUGUGUGAAGAAGGCCUUUUGGUUGUAAAGCACUUUAAGCGAGGAGGAGGCUACCGAGAUUAAUACUCUUGGAUAGUGGACGUUACUCGCAGAAUAAGCACCGGCUAACUCUGUGCCAGCAGCCGCGGUAAUACAGAGGGUGCAAGCGUUAAUCGGAUUUACUGGGCGUAAAGCGCGCGUAGGUGGCCAAUUAAGUCAAAUGUGAAAUCCCCGAGCUUAACUUGGGAAUUGCAUUCGAUACUGGUUGGCUAGAGUAUGGGAGAGGGAUGGGUAGAAUUCCAGGGUGUAGCGGUGAAAUGCGUAGAGAUCUGGAGGAAUACCGAUGGCGAAGGCAGCCAUCUGGCCUAAUACUGACACUGAGGUGCGAAAGCAUGGGGAGCAAACAGGAUUAGAUACCCUGGUAGUCCAUGCCGUAAACGAUGUCUACUAGCCGUUGGGGCCUUUGAGGCUUUAGUGGCGCAGCUAACGCGAUAAGUAGACCGCCUGGGGGAGUACGGGUCGCAAGACUAAAACUCAAAUGAAUUUGACCGGGGGCCCGCACAAGCGGUGGAACCAUGUGGUUUUAAUUCGAUGCAACGCGAAAACCUUACCUGGUCUUGACAUAUUAAGAACUUUCCAAAAGAAUGGAUUGGUGCCCUUCGGGGAACUUACAUACAGGUGCUUGCAUGGGCUGUCGUUCAGCCUCGUGUCCGUG